UAAUGCGCACAUUUGUUCUUCUUUUUUUUCUUCUUGCUUCCCUUUUUCCUUCUUUAUAUUUUCUUCAGCUUGUUC
rnacentral:ribozyme from 9 species